AACCUGGUUGGGCGGUCCGCCUCACGGUGUGUACUGUUCGGCUGGGCUCUACCUCUUGGUGAGCCCGCAUGCCCUUUACUGGGUGUGUGGGGGAACCAGGACCUUUACCUUGAGAAAAUUAGAGUGUUCAAAGCAGGCAUCCGCCCGAAUACAUUAGCAUGGCAUAAUAAAAUAGGACGUGCGGUUCUAUUUUGUUGGUUUCUAGAGUCGCCGUA
rnacentral:rRNA from 1 species